UCUCUGUCUGUCUGUCUCUCUCUCUCUCUCUCUCUCUCUCUCUCUUCCCCCCCUCCCAUCUAGCUAACUAUGCCUCUUCUCACAAAAAAGAAGAUCAAGAACAAACUACAAAACCCACAGCUUUGCCCUCAAAACCCAGUUCUUCCUCUUCCUCUAUGUUUUCUUCUCUACCCAAAUCCAAACCCCAACUUCGUCUCUCUUCGAAUCCCUUCUGCAACCUGAAUAAACCCAAGCAAAACCCUCUUUUCUGAAUAUGACAGCAUGUCUUGGCAUUAGGUGGCCAUUGUUUGAUCAUUUUGGUCCAAUUUUGGGGGGUUUUGAAGUCUGGGUUUACAUGCCCUCUUCAAGAACAGCUUCUCCAGAAAAUGAAUUGUUGGGAAUAUUGUGCAAGUCAUACACUGGCAUUGGAGACCAUUUUGUGCAUAAUGUAAUGUGUAGACAAGGAGUUCUUUUAGAUGCCUUCUGAAGACAAAAGCAAAGCUUCUAUUAUGUAAUGCUAAGCAAACUUGUGGCAAAUUGUACACAUCUUUGAUUAUGCUUGUUAUUAGGCCCCAAGAAUUAGUAAGGAUAUCUAAGACAUUAUGUAUUCUUCUUGUGGAGCUGUAUGUGUCUAAUAUUUGUGUAAUGUACUUGAUAUUGUUUUUGAGGUCAUUAUCAUAAUGAUAUGAAAUUUUCAUACAUGGUUAUUAUUUUUUAUGUACUAUUUAUUAUCUGUAACAACUGAAUAUUGUAAUAGUUCAACAAUUAGAACAUUAUAUAAUAUGGGAAAGAGAGUACAAAGACAU